GCCUAGUUAACUUGGAGGGUAGCGUGUCUGCCUUGUAAGCACUCGGCCGUGGGUUCGAUUCCCACCCGGGGCG
rfam:Asian citrus Psyllid, Diaphorina citri - Florida Strain, whole genome shotgun sequence.